rnacentral:rRNA from 1 species
UCAGAACGAACGCUGGCGGCAGGCUUAACACAUGCAAGUCGAACGCCCUCUUCGGAGGGAGUGGCAGACGGGUGAGUAACGCGUGGGAACCUACCUUUCGGUACGGAACAACAGUUGGAAACGACUGCUAAUACCGUAUACGUCCUUCGGGAGAAAGAUUUAUCGCCGAUAGAGGGGCCCGCGUUGGAUUAGCUUGUUGGUGAGGUAAUGGCUCACCAAGGCGACGAUCCGUAGCUGGUCUGAGAGGAUGAUCAGCCACACUGGGACUUAGACACGGCCCAGACUCCUACGGGAGGCAGCAGUGGGGAAUAUUGGACAAUGGGCGCAAGCCUGAUCCAGCCAUGCCGCGUGAGUGAUGACGGCCCUAGGGUUGUAAAGCUCUUUCAGUGGUGAAGAUAAUGACGGUAACCACAGAAGAAGCCCCGGCUAA